rnacentral:rRNA from 1 species
GUAGGUGGCAAGCGUUGUCCGGAAUUAUGGGCGUAAAGCGCGCGCAGGUGGGUUCUUUAAGUCUGAUGUGAAAGCCCCCGGGCUCAACCGGGGAGGGUCAUUGGAAACUGGGGAACUUGAGUGCAGGAGAGGAAAGUGGAAUUCCACGUGUAGCGGUGAAAUGCGUAGAUAUGUGGAGGAACACCAGUGGCGAAGGCGACUUUCUGGCCUGUAACUGACACUGAGGCGCGAAAGCGUGGGGAGCAAACAGGAUUAGAUACCCUGGUAGUCCACGCCGUAAACGAUGAGUGCUAAGUGUUGGGGGGUUUCCGCCCCUCAGUGCUGCAGCUAACGCAUUAAGCGCUCCGCCUGGGGAGUACGGUCGCAAAGACUG